CACAGUAGGUGGCAGGCGUCUUUUAUUUAUGACAAUUCAACUCCUCAAGUUUACAUACAGGAUACGGAAAAAACUUUUCCUCCGCGAUGAUUUCAUUAACUUCCUUACAACAUCGUGAAACCUGUGUUAAUUAGCCACACAACGCCCUGGUUAUUUUUUGAAUUAAACUUCUCCUCCGGUGACUGAGGACAACAUUGUGUGAGAGGCGAGCAAUUUGUAAGAGAUUCGAGCAUGGACUACUGCCGAGCUGUGCCCUGUCUGGUGUGGGUUCUACUCGCCUCUGUAGCGGCAGAAAGUCGGUUUGAAAAGAGCCCCGGGUCUCCUUCCGGGAUGGUCGGUGACCUGGCCGAACAAGUGGGCACUUACCUGCGCCAGCUUGCCCAGGAGAAGGCGGUGGUUUCUGCACAAAAGACUUUCUCCGAGGCGGUGGCGGUAGCGGGAGAGGCCCUGGCGGCUGGAAUCAACGUCUGUUCCCGGUACCUGUCUCAGCUCCUGGCGGCGAUGGGGGUAAACGAUGUCCUCCCCUCGUCCCAGGCGAGUGCGAAGGGUGUGGUCUUUGUCGGCCAGUGGCUCCUCUUCGCUCUGAUUGGCUACUGGUUGAUUUGGCUGCUGGUGCGCUCCCUGGCCUCCACUCUGCGCUUCGGCUUCUGGCUGCUGAAGGUGGGCGGGGCCCUCAUCGCCUUUGGACUUAUCCUGAGUGACCACACCGCCGCCAUGGAGACCACCGCCAUCCGAUUGGCUGUGCUGGUGCUGCUCUGUGUGCUAUUGGGCGUCGGGCCGUCGAGGGGCGGGGCUAAAGACGAUACGAGCAUACAGCUGGAGAAACACGUGAAGACCCUUGAGAGAAGGGUGAGGGAGAUGGAGAGAAUGAUCGAGUGAUGAGUGACGCGAGGAAAGCAGGAGGAGACGGUGGUGGAGUAGGGAGAGAUGGAGGAGACGGUGAUGGAGGAGACGGUGGUGGAGUAGGGAGCGAUGGAGGAGACGGUGAUGGAGGAGACGGUGGUGGAGUAGGGAGGGCUGGAGGAGAGCCUGAUGGGACAUGCGUGACGGAGACUGUGAUGAAGAAGAGAGAGAAGAAAGCCUUCCAUAUGUUUUAGGAUGAGCAUCCUGACGGUUCAAACUAAAGACAGAACAGCUUGUUGUUGUUUUUUACGUUGCAUUGACCCGCAUGCUUUCAGCUUUUCCAAUAAAAACAAGAACUUUG